AAUACAUAAUUAAAAGACUUAGUUUAAGUUUCAUCCAUUUCUUUCGCUCUCUUCUAAUAAAAAAAUAGGUACCCGUAAAGUAAAACAAUUGGUACUUCAGUUCUUAAUUUUUUGAUAUAAGAUUAAAUUGAAAUCAUUAAUUGAAACACAGGAGUAGUCUAUAUUUACAUAAAUUCUACUUGUGGAGACAAUUGCAUAACAUUCUGAGAAACCUUUAAGGUAAUAAAAAACAAUUCUCAUUUUUAAUUGUAUUUUAGAAGGAACGAGCAGCAAAAUACCAAUUGCUAUGGCAAGUAUUGUGCCACCUGGCAUAACCAUAAAAAAGGAGACAGAAAGCACAAGAAGUAUUCCUCCAAUUCAAAUUCCUCCACAAAUGAAUUCUACCUCCAUCAACUCAGAUUUCGAAGGACAAACAUCCCCGCCAUCUAAAAUUCCACGACUGGCAACAUUACUACACUCUAUCGCCCCACUAACUCCACGGCCGGUAACGGUAACCACCAUAGCAGGACAAAUCUCACCACCAACCAAUAUUUCACGACCAGUAACUUCUAAUCACAUCGCUCUACCGAAAACAACUCCGUGGCCGGUGCCAUUGGUGAACACAGAUGACCAUGAUGUUGAAGACCUGACGGCCUUAAUGAUUAAAAUGAGCGUGAUCGAAAAAAAAAAUUGACAAAAACAAUGAGGCGACGACAAGAAAAUUGGAUGCCCUAAACACAAAAAUGGCUUCACUCCAAAGAAUAAUGGGCACAAUGUCCGAUGCCAUUGAUGCCAUCAGACAAUCAUCCAUCAAUGAAGUAAGAGAAGAGACAGCUAUACAUUUCCCAAUCAAAAAUGACGAGGAAUUGAAAAAUUUGGAAGUCUUACUAGUAGAAGAACAAUUUGAAAAAGCGUUUCGCUCGAAAUUAAAAAAAGAAAAAACAAAAGAUGCUUAUCAUUUUAUGCGAAACGCUGUUGGACAAAUUUUUUACAAAACUACAAGACAUACUUGGAGCGGACGCGUGGGCCACAAUAGUGGCCACGAGGAGGAUGCUUACAAGGCCUCUAAUCUGAACGUUGUGCGCAUUUUGCUUGAUGUUGCAAUGGAAAUUUUCCCUAUCACCCGAGACACCGCGAUCCAGGAAUUUAAAAAGGCACUUCAGAACAAAAAUGCCGCGGUUCAUAUGAACAAGGUUCGCGAUGCCAAAUUUGUCCAUGAAUAAAUAACGAGGGAAAACUACUGAACAAAUCAGUUAUGUGUAAAUGAGAUUAAAAGAGAAAUAUUUGUUGAGGACCAUCCAUAAACCACGUUGAUUUAUUUGUUAAUUUUUUAAACUUUCUAUGGACAAUGGCCGUAUUCCACUUAUUUCAGGCGGAAUAAAUUAAAUAGAAUGUCGAACUUGAACUCUAAUUUUCUAAAAUUCAUUUUUUUUUAUUAUUUUCGGUGUUUUCACAUGUUGGGGUUUAUGAAAUGUCAAACGCAAAAGUGAUCCAUAAUUGUUAAGAGACAAUAAAAUAAUUUCAUAAGCGAUGGACAAAACGA